UACGUAGGGUGCGAGCGUUAAUCGGAAUUACUGGGCGUAAAGCGUGCGCAGGCGGUUUGGUAAGACAGGCGUGAAAACCCUGGGCUCAACCUGGGACGUGCAUUUAAUACUGGAGGGCUAGAGUAUAGUAGAGGAGAGGGGAAUUCCUGGUGUAGCAGUGAAAUGCGUAGAGAUCAGGAGGAACAUCAGUGGCGAAGGCGCCUCUCUGGACUAAUACUGACACUGAAAAGCGAAGGCGUGGGGAUCAAACAGGAUUAGAAACCCCUGUAGU
rnacentral:rRNA from 1 species